rnacentral:lncRNA from 1 species
UGGAACACCCUGUCAGAUUUUCAAGGAUUCAGAUGACUUACUUGCACGUCAUUUCACGACACCCCGUUGGCGAGCGUUAUAGGACAUUUGGGGAUAAGGAAACAGGAGCUAGACAGAGAUUACACCCAUUCGCGCCGACACGCCCAGCUGAAGAAUGAAGAUAGAAGGAUCAAAGUGUUGCACUGGCCCACAGAAAGCAAAGCCCAUCGUCCUCCCUGGGAAGGGGUGGUCUUAGACACCCAGGUUGAAUAAAAAGCCUGCCUUUGCUCCUC